rnacentral:rRNA from 1 species
CCUACGGGUGGCAGCAGUGAGGAAUAUUGGUCAAUGGGCGCGAGCCUGAACCAGCCAAGUAGCGUGAAGGAUGACUGCCCUACGGGUUGUAAACUUCUUUUAUAAAGGAAUAAAGUGAGGCAUGUGUGCCGUUUUGUAUGUACUUUAUGAAUAAGGAUCGGCUAACUCCGUGCCAGCAGCCGCGGUAAUCCGGAGGAUUCGCGCGUUAUCCGGAUUUAUUGGGUUUAAAGGGCGCGUAGAUGGGUUGUUAAGUCAGUUGUGAAAGUUUGCGGCUCAACCGUAAAAUUGCAAUUGAUACUGGCAGCCUUGAGUACAGUUGAGGUAGGCGGAAUUCGUGGUGUAGCGGUGAAAUGCUGAGAUAUCACGAAGAACUCCGAUUGCGAAGGCAGCUUACUAAGCUGUGACUGACAUUGAUGCUCGAAAGUGUGGGUAUCAAACAGGAUUAGAUACCCCGGUAGUC